rnacentral:rRNA from 1 species
CAUCGAUGAAGAACGCAGCGAAAUGCGAUACGUAAUGUGAAUUGCAAAUUCAGUGAAUCAUCGAGUCUUUGAACGCACAUUGCGCCCCCUGGUAUUCCGGGGGGCAUGCCUGUCCGAGCGUCAUUGCUGCCCUCAAGCCCGGCUUGUGUGUUGGGCCCCGUCCUCCGAUUCCGGGGGACGGGCCCGAAAGGCAGCGGCGGCACCGCGUCCGGUCCUCGAGCGUAUGGGGCUUUGUCACCCGCUCUGUAGGCCCGGCCGGCGCUUGCCGAUCAACCCAAAUUUUUAUCCAGGUUGACCUCGGAUCAGGUAGGGAUACCCGCUGAACUUAAGCAUAUCAAUAGCGGAGGAA